rnacentral:rRNA from 1 species
UACAGAGGGGGCAAGCGUUAUUCGGAAUUAUUGGGCGUAAAGGGCGCGUAGGCGGCAUGGCAAGUGGAAGGUGAAAUCCCUCGGCUUAACCGAGGAACUGCCCUCCAAACUGCUUUGCUUGAGUUCGGGAGAGGUGAGUGGAACUGCGAGUGUAGAGGUGAAAUUCGUAGAUAUUCGCAAGAACACCAGUGGCGAAGGCGGCUCACUGGCCCGAUACUGACGCUGAGGCACGAAAGCGUGGGGAGCAAACAGG